rnacentral:snRNA from 1 species
AUACUUACCUGGCAGGGGUGACACCAUGAUCAAGCAGGUGGUUUGCCCAAGGUGAGGCUUUGUCAUUGCACUCUGACCGUGCUGACCCUUGUGAAUUCCCCAAAUGUGGGAAUCUCAACUGCAUAAUUUGUGGUAGUGGGGGACUGCGUUCGCGCUCUCCCCUG